rnacentral:tRNA from 1 species
ACUAAUGUGACAGAAUUAUGUGACAGCUUUAAAGCCUGUUUAUGAGAAAUCUCCUUUGGUG